ACUAGGUUGCCUGUCUUUUUGAAAAAAACACUGACUCAAGAACAAGAAAUAUAUGUCUGCAUUUUACUUCGAUGGUUUCUAAACUGUUUUCCAUGUAAUUAUAAAAUUAUUGAUCCCAUUGUCAGUUACAGAUUUCUUAAAUUCUUAUAAUUUCUGGUACAGCAGUUGACAGGGCUGCAAUUUCUCUAACCAUGCUUAGGUAUCUCAAUGAACAUAUCUUCCUCUAACCACCCACACAUUCUUUAUAUUUAUAUCCAUGCUCAUGUGAGAUAUUAGUUUAUAAUAUUAAUUUAAUAUCUAUAUCUCAUUUAUAUUUCAGGGUGAUGUUGGCCUCAUAUAACUCAACUUUAUAGAAUUCUCUGUGAAGUAUUAUUUCUUCUUUAAAUCUUUGGUAGAAAUCAUCAGUGAAGCCAUCUGAGUCUUGACUUUUAUUUGUGGAAAUUUGAUAAAUUUGUGUUUAACCUCAAAUUUAAUUUACUUAAUAGGUAUAUGGAUAUUUGAGUCAUCUAUUUCUUAUCAAGAGCAGUAUUGAUGUCCCCUCUUUCAUUCUUGACAUUGUUAUUUGAAAGUAUGCAGUUUAGUUUCAAGGGAUUACAGCAUUUCAAGGUUAUAUUUGUUCUAAAAUUUACUUCUGAGUACUGGAUUAGAAACAUUUGCAUGAGUUCUGAUGAACCUAAACACUCUGAAUUCCGAAGUCCCAUCAAACCUCCUCCAGCAGAAACAGCAGGUAACAAUCUCAUUUAAGAAAGAUUAGAUGCCAGAAUUUUUCUGGAGGUUUUAAAGGAACAGAUACAUUGAUGUUCCUUAUUCCUGAGUGUU
rnacentral:lncRNA from 1 species